rnacentral:lncRNA from 1 species
CGCUGUCAUUGCCAUGAAUGCUAUUGUCACUGCACAUAUGUGGCCAUCAGGUCGCCAGCACACAGGGCCCUCUCGCCUCCCACGUCCAAGGUAGCCUCUCCCUGGUGUUCAGGGCGUUCAUGUCAUCAACCCCAGCUUCCAACGCCCGCAGUGAACUCCCGUCCCCUCUUGCCAAUGCCUCCUGCACACCCGCUCCUCCCACGGGGCCUCCCAGAGCUGACCUCAGCCCAGGCCCUAUCAGCUGAGCCCCGGGCAGCAUCUCGUCCACACCCCGCAGGGCCUGGGUGGGGUCGGGCAGGGGGCCCUGGCCCCCGUCUGCAGACCAGGCCGCCGAAGCUGCCGCUCACUCGGGUGCAGGAGAUCAGGGGAAGCAAAAGGUUAUUGGAGGAGAAAGGAAAACGUUGCCCCUAAUGCCACGUUGCGCAACACAGGAGAAUCCUAUCAGCGCAGGAGAACCAGGACCGGAACCCAGCCCCCCACAUGCCUAGCCUGGCCUGCUUCCUCUGGCCCACCUGUGGGGGUGUGGAUGCUGAGGGAUGUCAGAGCCCAGGGACGACCACUGUGGGUCUGAAGAGCCCUGGACGGUGUGCAUAGAGUAGGCAAGCGAAUGAACGGAUCUGCCCGGCUGCAGGGAGAAUGAGAGCGGAAAACGUAAAGAAGGUGUGAGGGGCUCCAUUUUACAGAGGGGGAAAGCGAGGCUCCCAGCGGGAAAGUGGCUUGCCCGAGAUCACCUGGCAGUCAUCGCCUGAGCCAGGAUUUGAAUCAAGGCCUGUCGAUUUCCAAGGCGGAUACUGCUGACACUGAUUCUCCUUAAACGAUGGAGUCCCACAGAAAGGUGGCUUUGCAGGCACAGUAAAGUACAAAGUCUCCAAGGCUGGUCUGGCUGCCUUGAAGGUCCAGCUGGGUGGCAGGAACUCAAAGGUCGACGGGUGAGAUGUUCUUGAUUUCUGGAGUCCUUGGGCCCCCCGGGGCUGUUGGCUCUGACUGCCGAUAAAAAGACACGGAAACCUCUGUCCCAUUGUGACCUGGCUCCCUGUUGUCCUUCUGCAGGAAAGCCAAGUUCUCAUAGCCCCUGUACCUCCCAACUGCUUCUAAUGAAUUCACUGUCCGCCUUGUUUUGUUGUCCCAGACUCAGGCCACCCUGGUUUUGCCUGGUGAGUGGCCUCUUUCAAAGGUGAGCUGGCUCUUCUCUGCCUCGGACAAUCAGGCCAUUCAAAGGCAGGCCAGCAUCUCCACGAGCAGGCCGAUGUCCACUGCAGCCCGCAAAUGAGUGUGCGGGUAGGCGUGCCUGCACCCCAAUGCCUAGGUGUGCAUUUUGUACGGGAGGCAGGGCAGGGCGAGAGGAGACAGUCCGAGAGGAUGUGGGGGCAGGGGGAUUAAAGACCGGGCCUUGGGACAACGUUAACGGCAG